rnacentral:rRNA from 1 species
UACGUAGGGGGCAAGCGUUGUCCGGAUUUAUUGGGCGUAAAGAGCGUGUAGGCGGCCACACAGGUCUGCUGUGAAAACUCGAGGCUCAACCUCGAGCUGUCGGUGGAAACCGUGUGGCUAGAGUCCGGAAGAGGAGAGUGGAAUUCCCGGUGUAGCGGUGAAAUGCGCAGAUAUCGGGAAGAACACCCGUGGCGAAGGCGGCUCUCUGGGACGGUACUGACGCUGAGACGCGAAAGCCAGGGGAGCAAACGGG